rnacentral:misc_RNA from 1 species
AAGUCGUAACAAGGUUUCCGUAGGUGAACCUGCGGAAGGAUCAUUAACACGUAUCCAACGUUAAACAACCCUGUGAACUUUAAGCCUACUCUUGCAGCCCAUGAGGAACAGCAAUCCCGGUAAAUCAUUGCCAAACAGUUUUGAUUCGGGACCUGGCUUCCCCAAGCAGUUAGUGAAUGACAGUGUCACUGACUGUGUAAGGAUAACGCCUCACGGUUGCCAGAGGUCGAUCACCGACCGGCAGACAUGUCACAGGGCCACCGCGCCCCUUAAUCACUCCACUAGAAAAUGCCCCGCCUAGUGGUAACGCGCUAGGUAAAAAAAACCGAACAACUGUUAACAAUGGAUAUCUUGGUUCUC